UACGUAGGUGGCAAGCGUGGGCCGGAUUUACUGGGCGUAAAGAGCGCGCAGGCGGUCGUUCAAGUCGCGUGGGAAAGCCCCCGGCUCAACUGGGGAGGGUCACGCGAUACUGAUCGACUCGAAGGCAGGAGAGGGUAGUGGAAUUCCCGGUGUAGUGGUGAAAUGCGUAGAUAUCGGGAGGAACACCAGUGGCGAAGGCGACUACCUGGCCUGUUCUUGACGCUGAGGCGCGAAAGCUAGGGGAGCAAACGGG
rnacentral:rRNA from 1 species